UUGAAGGUCAUGAGGAUCUGUUGAAAGGCGUCAGGCAGGUGGAGUGAUGCAGUACAUGAAUAUUGCCAUAUUUCCACCCCGGUCUCUCAUCUGUAUCUGACACCAGCUGGGCUCGUGUCUUACUCGACCUUGCCCCUUCCCCACCCCCAGGUCUCCCUCCAGCAUCUCUGCUGCCACCACAGCCUGGCUGUCCCAUGAUGAGCCCUCUGGGAUCCCCAGGGUGCCUGCCCUCCUGCAGCCCCUGGUUCUGGCCUGUGAACCAGCACCUGGUUCUGGUUCUAAGCCUAUGGACAGGGGCUCCUGGGAGCCAGGUCUCGCCCUCCUGGUGGUCCCUGAACCGGCGCUGGGCUAGAGCACAGUCAGCACCUGAGAAUGAGCACACAGCCCAUCCCAGGUCCCCACCUCACGCUCCUCAUCACUGCCAGGCUCUUUGGACGUUAGGCAGACACACAGAACACUUCUUGUUAGUCUGUACUAAUUUGAGCACUUUCAUUUUACAGAGCCAGAAAGAAUUUGAAGCCCAAGUAUUCAAAGAUCCAAAUGAAUUCAGUGAGGUGUGAAUUCCUAAAUGUCUUCUCAACCACAGGAUUUAAAAGCUACCACUGAAAACUGGUAGUCCUGCAUUCUUAACCUGCAAAUAUCUUUGGGAACAAGAUUGCACUUGUGAGAAGCCAAGCCUGCAAUUGCCUGCAUCAUAAAAUCAUCCAAAACAUUCAUGAGUCCCACCUCGGGCUAAGCUGGCAGGGGCGGGGGAGGUGGGUAACCCAGCCUAACUCAGUCCCCUGCCCGGUCCGCAGUGUAGACGAAGGCUCUGCACCCUGCGACAGCCCCAUGACGCCCCUGCUGUCCCCCUCUGCUGGAGUCCCUCCUCCCCACCCCAGCAAGAGUGCUGUCGUGGAGAUGGUUCAAGGGAAUUCCCAUCACACAGGCUCAGAAACUGUACCGAUAGCCCCUCUAGAGAAGGUUCCUCCGAGCAGCCCUUCUCAGCAUCCCUGACCUCCCAGUCGUCAGGGUUCACAUGCAGCUACCAGGGAAAGGAACAGACAUGCACCCCAGAUCAUGUGUUGGUUAUGAUGCACUAACUGUGCAACUGCCUGGUGAUACCCAGAAAGUGAAGAAGUCACCUGUGUCCCCCUCCUGGGGGACCACCCUUCCCUCUGGGUGGAGCACAUGACCUCCUGAAGUGGCUCCUGUCUGGUCACCAGUGAAGGAGGAGCCGACCCUGAACACAUCCCGGAACCAGAAUCGGCCCCUAGACGCCAGCUUUCUGGCAGAGGAAAGGGCAGCCAUGGUGGGCCCAGCCCAGGAGACUAGAGAGUCCCAUCCCAGCCGCAUGGGGAUACACCGUUCCAGGUCCCGUCAUCCUAAGUGUGGUUUCCUGUGGCCCAAGCCUCCCACCAUAUCUGCCAGGAAAACAUUCCUCCCCAAGACCCGCAUCUUCUUGUCUGCCUGUUCCUCCUGCUGCCCUGCCUGCCCAUCCGGCCUAGGAUGGACCCGCUGGCCCUGGCAUCUCCACGGGAGAGACAGUCCACCUGGAAGGUGUCCGAGGAAACCAGAUAACAGGGUGUGGAGACACAGGAAGGGACAGACGGAGAGGGGCACCUGGAGGGCACCCGGCUCAGAAGAGACACUCCAUCCAAGUCAGCCCCAGACUCAGUCAUCCAGACGGCCUCCAGUGAAGACCCGGUGCUCUGGCCAUGUGUCAAGGACUCGGAACCGCCUGGAUCCUCAGACUGGAUUCGCUGUUUCUAUCAGUUGCAUUGUGAGAUAGGAGACGUGGCACUAAGCUAAGGGUUGGAGUCCUGGAGGACAGCGUUUCAUCAGCCCUCCCAUUAUUGCAGCCAUGCUAAGACCAACCCUCCUCACCCCAAGGGAAGCGGGCUCAGCACAGCCUCCAUCACCCUGCUGCCAGCCUCUGCUUUGUUCUCAGUUUCUAUUUACUUGUCUUGUGGUUUUUUUCAUUCUACACAAACAUAGGUCCAUAAACACAUA